rnacentral:lncRNA from 1 species
GGGACUGCUGUUUGAUUACUUGAUAAUUUCUUGGUUGACUGAGUUGAUAUUAGUUAUGUUUUUGGCUUGUUAUAAAGUGAAUUGAUUGUGAUGUGUUGUGAAGUGAAUUGAUUGUGAUGUGUUGUGAAGUGAAAUGAUUGUGAUUAAGGAUUGAUGACUUUUGUAUGGAUAUUGUGUGAUCGGGAAAGCUGAGCCGGGAGGAUAGCUACCCGAGUAUGUGAGAUGGCAAGACUGAGCCGGGCGGAUAGUCUUGUCAAGUGGUUACUGAAAUUUAAAAAUGUGAGGAAAUGUAAGGAUGAGUCAUCUGAUCCUAAUUUGAUAGAAAUAAUGUGGAAUUGAAUUAUUUGACUUGGUUGAGUUUGAGAUUAUUUGCAUUACGUGAG